CACAUACAGCCAUCUAGAUCACUGGCUAGCUUUGGGAAGCCUGCUGAGCAAAAAUAAUUAAUAAAAAGCAUGCUUUACCAGAGAGCCAUCAUGAGUCUAGCUGUUUCUGCCAUCAUACUGACCUUCACAAGGACAGGAGUGGCAAACAUUGAAAAGAGGUCCCACAGACCCAGACAAUUAAGAAUGAUUAAUGCAUUUAAGCCACUCAGCUGCUGCAGAAAGGUCUCCACUCAGAAAAUUAAAGCAACCAUUCUCAAGUGCAUCCCCGAUAGGGCAAAGAGACCGCCUUGUGUGAAUGCUUUGGUAUUUGUGACGACUGAGGGUACGUUUUGCACUUCCCCAAAAGCUCCUUGGGUGAAAGAGUUAUUACCAAAAUGCAGGGAGCUUAAUCAACAGCCCUGAAGACCUCCACUGGAAAAAAUGUUUUGAAGACCACUUGAUAUAUUUAGAUUUUAUUGAGAAGUAUUCAGGUGCAUCUCAAAAAAUUAUAUCGUGAAAAAGUCCAUGGCCAUACCCAAAUUGAAAGAUUAAAGGCUCAGGAAACCAUUGCCAGUAUUUUUACUGAAUUAGUUGAUCAGAACUCUUCUCAGGUCGAACUUUGAAGUAUUCUAAAUUCUUUAUUCUAAUAUUU